rnacentral:rRNA from 1 species
AGUGAACGCUGGCGGUAGGCCUAACACAUGCAAGUCGAACGGCAGCACAGAGGAGCUUGCUCCUUGGGUGGCGAGUGGAGGACGGGUGAGGAAUACAUCGGAAUCUACUCUGUCGUGGGGGAUAACGUAGGGAAACUUACGCUAAUACAGCAUACGACCUACGGGUGAAAGCAGGGGAUCAUCAGACCUUGCGCGAUUGAAUGAGCCGAUGUCGGAUUAGCUAGUUGGCGGGGUAAAGGCCCACCAAGGCGACGAUCCGUAGCUGGUCUGAGAGGAUGAUCAGCACACUGGAACUGAGACACGGUCCAGACUCCUACGGGAGGCAGCAGUGGGGAAUAUUGGACAAUGGGCGCAAGCCUGAUCCAGCCAUACCGCGUGGGUGAAGAAGGCCUUCGGGUUGUAAAGCCCUUUCGUUGGGAAAGAAAUCCAUCUGGUUAAUACCCGAGUGGGAUGACGGUACCCAAAGAAUAAGCACCGGCUAACUUCGUGCCAGCCGCCGCCGUAA